UAUAAGCUUUGUUUUCCUGUACGGUGAAACGGGAAUAACAACAAUAAGCCUACUAAUAAACAUUAAAACUCCGGGAUAAACAAAAAGACAAAAAAAUGAAGUUGUUGAUUCUGGUUUUCUUGGUGUCCGCACUGCUAAUUUCUAACUCCUUGGCUCUGGACACGUGCGGGAAGGAUGGUUGCCAUAGCAACCACCAGUGCCAGGACUGCUGUGCGGUUGGUCAAAGAUACGAGUGUACGAUAGAAAUAGGUGACGACAGAGGGACGUGCCGCUGUCACAACCACAGACGGAACGAAAAGUAGGCACCAUCACAAAACACACCUGUAUUCGUUGAAAGGCAAUAUGUAAACGCUAUGUAGACGAAGACUUUACAUAAUAAAUAUUGUCUUAAAAGCAAA